rnacentral:rRNA from 1 species
GACGUAGGUGGCGAGCGUUAUUCGGAUUUAUUGGGCGUAAAGGGUUCGUAGGGGGCUGAUUAAGUUCGGUGUGAAAGCUCGAGGCUCAACCUCGAAAUGUCACCGGAUACUGGUCAGCUAGAGGAUCGGAGAGGAAAGUGGAAUUCCAGGUGUAGCGGUGGAAUGCGUAGAUAUCUGGAGGAACACCAAUGGCGAAGGCAGCUUUCUGGACGAUACCUGACCCUGAGGAACGAAAGCCGGGGGAGCAAACAGG